rnacentral:rRNA from 1 species
UACGAAGGGUGCAAGCGUUAAUCGGAAUUACUGGGCGUAAAGCGCGCGUAGGUGGUUCAGCAAGUUGGAUGUGAAAGCCCUGGGCUCAACCUGGGAACUGCAUCCAAAACUAACUGAGCUAGAGUACGGUAGAGGGUAGUGGAAUUUCCUGUGUAGCGGUGAAAUGCGUAGAUAUACGGAGGAACACCAGAGGCGAAGGCGGAUCGCUGGGGCCAACACUGACGCUGAGACGCGAAAGCUAGGGUAGCAAACGGGAUUAG